UGCGUAGGCGGAAUAAUAAGUCAGUGGUGAAAUCCUGCGGCUCAACCGUAGAACUGCCAUUGAUACUGUUAUUCUUGAAUAUAGUUGAGGUAGGCGGAAUGUGUAAUGUAGCGGUGAAAUGCUUAGAUAUUACACAGAACACCGAUUGCGAAGGCAGCUUGCUAAACUAUUAUUGACGCUGAUGCACGAAAGCGUGGGGAGCGAACAGGAUUAGAUACCCUGGUAGUCC
rnacentral:rRNA from 1 species